GAAGGUGCCCAGAGGAGACGCCCAGAGGAAAUCUGGAACGAGGAGGGAACUGGUCACUCCGGCCGCUGGGCCCGUGUGGGCGGGGCCAGCACCAAGAUCCAGACAGCAGAGGAGAAUGGGCCUUCCCAGGAAACAUCGUCCCCUGGUGGCCACAUGUGGGGAGCGCUGGCUGACGUCUGCCGUGUACAUGCCCCCACCAGGGCCGAUUUCAACCUGCCGAUGAGAAGGACGCCACCGAACAGAGACUUGGGAAGAGGCUACACCCUCAGCUCCCAAGAGCUGGCACCAGCCGGUUCCAGUGCGCCCACAUAGAUUUUAGGUGCAUGUGUGGGUUUUCUUUUUCUAGGGGAAGUAAAAGAGCAAAACUAAAUUGUUAAGGAAAAUAAAUUCAUCAACUUGUGACUAAGGAA